rnacentral:rRNA from 1 species
UACGGAGGGGGCGAGCGUUAUUCGGAAUUAUUGGGCGUAAAGGGCGCGUAGGCGGCUGGGCAAGUCAAAGGUGAAAUCCCUCGGCUCAACUGAGGAACUGCCUUUGAAACUGCCUGGCUUGAGGCCGGGAGGGGGUAGCGGAAUUCCCAGUGUAGCGGUGAAAUGCGUAGAUAUUGGGAGGAACACCGAUGGCGAAGGCAGGUCACUGGGCCGCAACUGACGCUGAGGAGCGAAAGCAUGGGGAGCGAACAGG